CCAGGAAACCAUACAAUCUUUAAGUAUACAUGCCUGUCCAAUUUUUUUCCUCUCUCAGUGCUACUUUUGAAAACUAGUAAAUUGAUGUUCGUUCACAACAGAUGGUGUGAGGAGUAGAAUGUAGCGGUAGUGAUAUACAGAGUCCCCAACAUUGAGUCCCCUUCCCACAGCUAAACCUGAAGCCUGGAUCAUUUUUAACUAUGC